UACGGAGGAUCCAAGCGUUAUCCGGAUUUAUUGGGUUUAAAGGGUGCGUAGGCGGCUUAUUAAGUCAGGGUGAAAGACGGUAGCUCAACUAUCGCAGUGCCUUUGAUACUGAUGGGCUUGAAUGAACUAGAGGUAGGCGGAAUGAGACAAGUAGCGGUGAAAUGCAUAGAUAUGUCUCAGAACACCGAUUGCGAAAGGCAGCUUACUAUGGUUUUAUUGACGCUGAGGCACGAAAGCGUGGGGAUCAAACAGG
rnacentral:rRNA from 1 species